AAGUCAAAGCAGUUCCUUUGCUUCUUCCUUUUGUUUCUCUAAUUGUCUUAAAAUUCCUUUCGUUCUCUUAUUCCUAUAAACUAGGAAUUCAUAGUUCUAUCGACUAGAAGUUUUGGAUCAAGUGGUAUCAGAGCACCAGAUCCAAGAGGGUGACGGUGGUUUAUGGUCUGAACUUGCAACCAUCGCAAAGCUUCUGGAGAAGAACUUUUAGGUCCUUUGCUCAUACACCAAAAGUCAAUGUCCAAGAGAGACAUUAUGACGGGAGAAAACAAACAGGAUACAUCUAGUGAUGGCGAUCGCAUCAUUAAGCUUGAGCAAAAAGUUGAAAACUUGUCCUCGUCAAUCCUUAAACUCAUGGAGAAUUUGAAGACUGGAAAACCUUAGCAUCCAUCAACUUCAUAUGAGCCUGAUCAAAAGUUCAAGAAAAAGGUUGUUGAGGAUAGCAAAGAUGAAGACGACACACAAGUUGAUCCAACGAAAAAGGAAGCUGAAUCAGAACUGCUCUUUACAGAGCUACAAAGGAAGAAAUCAACUCUAGAAAAGCAAAAAGAAAGCUGGAACUCUAUUCCUGUCUGUAUAGAAGCUUCUGAUCCGGGCUGAACUGGGUAUGUCUGGGCUAGACUGGACUUUCAACAACUUCAGUUGCUCAGUUUCAGCUGUAGAUGGAUACCAAAGUUCAAUUUUGGUAGAGCUUUAAUCUACUCCAAGCUUUGGGAGGCUUUUGAGCUGGCAGAACUGCAGCUUUUUCAGUUUGAAGGGACAGAAGUGGCUGUUCUUAAAAACCUAAUGAGCUGGAAACUGCACUGUGAAAUUUGUUGAGGUUUUCAUAUUUGAGAAAACUCAAACUCUGCUUGUCUUGACUUUUGUUGAACCAAAUUUGUAACGAGAGAGAUCUCGUUUUGAAUGACUUAUUUCUUUAAGUCUGAACUUUGGAAAUUCUGAUCUAAAACUAGUUUUUCUUGUGGUUCAAGUGAGCUUUUGGUUGAUUUUUUUGGGUUGUUUAUUUGAUUGAUGAAAAUUGAGUGUGUC